rnacentral:lncRNA from 1 species
GAAAAACAUGAAUGAGAGAGGUACUCCCUCUUCUAUGUAUUUAUAGAAAAAGAGCACUUAAAAAACCUUUGGAACUGAUCCAGCUCAUUUCUUUGACCUCCUUCUCAAAAACUAGAUCAUGCUUCCCAGAUCAGUCUCCUCAGUGGUGUAAGAAAGCAGAAGAUAAGAACAUAAGAAAGAAAAGAAGAAGAUAAGAACUCUCCUUCCUCCCUGUGGCACCUGCCUAAAUCUGCACAGCAAGUUCCUGGGUCAGCAUGCCUUAUGAUUUCACAAGGGCAAGUUAAAAAGGAAAACAGCUUGUACUCCAAAAACUCAAAGAAGAAAACUUUCAUACCACAGAAUCAUAGAAUAUCUUAUCUUGGAAGAGACCCACAAGGAUCAUUAAGUCCAACUCCUGGCUCCAGACAGGACUACCCAAAAAUCAUACCAUAUGACUGAGAGCAUUUCAUAGUAGAACUGGAGACUUACUGUCCAGAAUAACACCUGAAACAGAUAUAAUGGAUAUGAUAUGAGGUGAUGAUGGGACUGCAACAAUGAUGAGGCUGUAUCCAUAAAUUACAAAACUGCAGUAACACUAUUGCUUCAUGGACAAUAAUUGCUCUGGUAAGUUCUUAACCCUCAAACUUUGAGAACAGGUUAAAAAAUCCAUUUCUGCUACUACUUUGUGUAAUCUCCUUGUAGGUUUAUGUAUGUUUAAAUAAAGGUUGGUUCUAAUCUGAAAAUGUGAGCCUACUUAUCUUUUGCAUGCUUACAUAUCCUGGUAGCAGAUGUUGGGAAAGCACUUGAAAGGAAGAAAAAGCUUUCCAUUUUUAACUCAGUGGAUUUCAGAACAGAGCAAGUAACACAUGGACUUUAAAUGAUAAUGUUUGCCUACAGUAAACAGCACACUUGUGAUAGACAGCCCUGGACACACACCCUGAUUUCCUGUAGAAAGAAACCUGGAUUUGCACCUUUACAACGAGCGGGAUAUCAUCCUCCCAGCUUCAUAAGGGAUGAGGAUGCCACCAUAGACUGCCCAAGUUACAUUACAUCCUUCCUUUUAUCUUCAAGGCUUUUCUGAAAUACUCUGUUUCCCGGUUCCAACGAACAAACCUAUUUCUUUUCUUAGGAACCUGUAGCAGCAGCUUCUUGAGAUGAUCAAGCCAGCCUUGCAGCCCAUUGACAAUGAAAGAAGGGGCCCUGCUCUCUCCACUGACUGUCUUCCCCUUCAGCCACGUGCUUUCCUACUUUGUGUUACACCUUUCUGGUGCUUAGCAAACCCCUUAACAAACCUUCACAACUCUGUUACUCAGGGGAAAUUAAAACAGAUCAUAAGUAUCUGAUGAAUUAAUCGGAUGAAUUGGGUUGUGGGGUGUCCAACAGGCAUUGGGGAGGAGCAGAGUGAUGUAAAUGGGAACAUAAAAAGAGAACUGAGACUGUCCCUUCAUAACAACCAUGAGACCAGCUGCUCUUGAAAUUUCAGUGUGUUGCCUGCUCAGAUCAGAUAACAGACAGCAAGAAGUAAGGGGGGGGGGGGGAGCUCUUCCAGAUUUACAGAUAAUUUCUACUGAUUAUACAGCAAAAGUAUCUGAAAUCUAAAGUCAAGUGAUUAAAAAACAAUAAUAACUAGAUUUCAUUACUAAUGUAUUUUUAUUCAUUAUUAAUUAUUAUCUAACUCACUUCUACAAUAGAAUGAAUGUAGCAUUAAUAUGAUUUAUUAAGUUGUGGUUAUCCCAGACUCAUGAUCUUUGGGUCCUAAAAAACAAGUUAGACACUUAUAAGUGUCUAACUUAUAGACACUUAUAGACACUUAUAAGACUUCUGAGCUUCUUUGUUGUUGUGGGUUUUUUGUUUGUUUGUUUUUCCUUACUACUUUACUCAUUAGCCCCACCUUGCAUACAGUUUCGCACAACAGUGCCAACAACAAAUUCUAUACAUUGUAAAAUAUGUUUAAUACGGCUCCAAUGUAAGUAACCAAAUCCUAAUGGGAUGGGGUACAUUUCUGUCUUUAUUCGCAGGUCACGUACAGGUCUCCAGUGACAGGGGAACAGUGGGCUAAUGAUGCUAUAUCAUCAUUUCAG